GAUGAACGCUAGCUACAGGCUUAACACAUGCAAGUCGAGGGGAAACGACAUCGAAAGCUUGCUUUUGAUGGGCGUCGACCGGCGCACGGGUGAGUAACGCGUAUCCAACCUGCCCAUCACUUGGGAAUAACCUUGCGAAAGUAAGACUAAUACCCAAUGAUAUCCCACGAAGGCAUCGGAAUGGGAUUAAAGAUUUAUCGGUGAUGGAUGGGGAUGCGUCUGAUUAGCUUGUUGGCGGGGUAACGGCCCACCAAGGCAACGAUCAGUAGGGGUUCUGAGAGGAAGGUCCCCCACAUUGGAACUGAGACACGGUCCAAACUCCUACGGGAGGCAGCAGUGAGGAAUAUUGGUCAAUGGGCGAGAGCCUGAACCAGCCAAGUAGCGUGCAGGAAGACGGCCCUAUGGGUUGUAAACUGCUUUUAUAAGGGAAUAAAGUGGGUCACGUGGGACUUUUUGCAUGUACCUUAGGAAUAAGGACCGGCUAAUUCCGU
rnacentral:rRNA from 1 species